UUUUAGGUUUGAAGCCUUACACCUCACGCCUUGCGCCUAGGCUGGGCUAUCCAUUGGACGCCUUGGCCACACCCCCACCUUUUAAUACAUUGCUCAGAAGUCAGUGUUUUGGUCACAGAAUUUGACCAUGGGAUUUAAUUUUUGAGUUAGUGAAGUCUUGGAACCACUUUCGUAGAUUUUCAUUUUAGCUUCCCAAUUUGUAUCUUUGUGUUCAUCACUCAAAUGGGAUUAUGCGUGCCCCUUGGCCCUUCAGAUUUCCUAAUGGCAUUAUACUCCUCUCUCUCUCUCUCUCUCUCAAUGGAAUUAUGCUUGAUCUCCCUUGGCCCUUCAGAUUUCCUGAUGGCAUUACAUUAUUUAGUUACCUCUAGUUUUCAAGUAUCAUGCCUUCUUUGUCCAUAUAGCCCAGUUUAUAUAUUAUUUUCUUUUCUUUUAUUUCCUCGCAUUAAACUGCCCUCCUUACUUUUUAUCGUGCAUUAGCCUAGUUUACAUGUGACCUAUGAUCGGCUAUUAAUACAAUCAUUUCUUUAUCAAUCUUUUUGGUAUUUCAAUCUUAGAUAAUCAAUUAUUAUACUCAUGAGGUGGUAGGAAUUUGAUAUUUGUACAGAUGACUAAACUUGUGUAAUUAAUUUAUUCAUAAAUAUAUUUGGUUCCACUGAAUGAACUUGGCCUAUGGGCAACACCAAGUUGUACAGUAGAUUUUGUUCAAUCUUAAUAGUUUUAGGGAGUAUUUGGUCAUGAUUCCUGACACUUUGUGCUUUUAGGAAACAUCGGUACUGCGGAGCAAGCUUUUAGAACAUGAAAACCUUGUUAAGUAUGCUGAUAGGCUUAAGGUGGAGUUUGUGGACUCAGGUUCACCAUCUUCAGUUCCAAACUUUCAUGGAAACUCUUCAUCAGCAGCUCCUAGAAGAGGUCCUUCAAACUCGAGUUCUAAGCCCAAGAGUAAACCCAAAAGGGAAGAGACAAAGGAGGAGAAAAGUUUUAAGAGAAGGGCCAGAUAUUUUUUAACAGCACAGCUGGUUUCAGUUGUACUUUUCGUCACUCUCCUAAGUCGAGUUGAUGAGGCUGAUGUCGAGGUUGAUGAUGAUGGGUAUGAAUAGUUGUGUUCUUAGCACCAGCAUUUUUUACAUGAAAACCAGCUAGGAUUAGCAGCCUGACGACGAAGAGAGAAUUUCUGUAAUCCCGUUCUUUCAGUUUUGUAGUAUGACGUUGAAAUUUUGGGAAAAUAAGCACCUGUAUAAAUACAUGAUAUGAUUUGCUGGAAAGUUGAAGUUAGAAACCUAGAAUUGGAGGUAUUCUUCACCUGCAGGAUUCCAAUGUUCGACUUUUGAAGCAGUGCUGACAAUUUGUAAAUUUCAUUGGAUAUGAAUUGGUGAGAAGGGUUUAACUGUGAUGCAAUUUCGUACUUUUAUGUU